rnacentral:rRNA from 1 species
CAAGUCGAGCGGGAUCCAUCCGGUAGCAAUACCGGUGAAGAUCUAGCGGCGAACGGGUGAGUAACACGUGAGAAACCUGCCCCGAACUUUGGGAUAACACGAGGAAACUCGUGCUAAUACCGAAUACCUCCAUCUGGUCGCAUGGCCGGAUGAAGAAAGAUUUAUCGGUUCGGGAGGGUCUCGCGGCCUAUCAGCUAGUUGGCGGGGUAACGGCCCACCAAGGCAUCGACGGGUAGCUGGUCUGAGAGGACGAUCAGCCACACUGGGACUGAGACACGGCCCAGACUCCUACGGGAGGCAGCAGUGGGGAAUCUUGCGCAAUGGGCGAAAGCCUGACGCAGCAACGCCGCGUGCGGGAUGAAGGCCUUCGGGUUGUAAACCGCUUUCAGCAGGGAAGAAAUUGACGGUACCUGCAGAAGAAGCCCCGGCCAACUACGUGCCAGCAGCCGCGGUAACACGUAGGGGGCGAGCGUUGUCCGGAUUUAUUGGGCGUAAAGAGCUCGUAGGCGGUUCGGUAAGUCGGGUGUGAAACCUCCAGGCUCAACCUGGAGACGCCACCUGAUACUGCUGUGACUAGAGUCCGGUAGGGGAGUGUGGAACUCCUGGUGUAGCGGUGAAAUGCGCAGAUAUCAGGAAGAACACCAGCGGCGAAGGCGGCACUCUGGGCCGGUACUGACGCUGAGGAGCGAAAGCGUGGGUAGCAAACAGGAUUAGAUACCCUGGUAGUCCACGCCGUAAACGUUGGGCACUAGGUGUGGGUCUCAACCAACGAGAUCCGUGCCGCAGCUAACGCAUUAAGUGCCCCGCCUGGGGAGUACGGCCGCAAGGCUAAAACUCAAAGGAAUUGACGG